AUGGGGCGGGGAGGCGGGGAGGCGAGGGGAGUGGAAGGGAGGGAAGGGCGAGUGAGGCGCCGCCACCGCCGGCAACUUUGUGAGCGAGUUCAGUGCGUGCGUGAGCGAGUAAGCGAAAAAGGAGAGCGCGCGGCGGACGCGCCCCGGACGCGCGGUGGCACCGGGAGGCCGGGCAGAGCGGUAAGUGGCUCCCGCGCCCCGGGGUCCGGGCAGGGGAGCGGGGGUGAAGGACUGUUGACAGCCCCCCCCCAUUGCAUUUCUGGCCGGGGCUCGGGUGCAGGGCCCGGAGCGGGAUUCGGGAGGCCGGUCAAAGUUUUAUUUCCGAUUUGGUGGCGUGCUGAUAGCGCAGCCCGGCGGGGGCGAGUCCGGGCUGCACCGCGCACGGCGCGCGCGCACGCACCUAGGAACCCGAAUCUGCAUAACUACCGGCAGAGCGCCUCCGCCAGAGGCCGGGAGACCCGCGCCCCCGUCGGGGUGGCUGCGCCCACCCGGCAGCUCUCGUCUCCACCGGGCACCCUUCCCCUUCAGUCACCUGGGUUCGGUUUCAAAUGUGAAUGA
rnacentral:lncRNA from 1 species